rnacentral:rRNA from 1 species
AGAGUUCGAUCCUGGCUCAGGAUAAACGCUGGCGGCGUGCUUAACACAUGCAAGUCGAACGAAGUUUUUCUUUCGGGAGAAACUUAGUGGCGGACGGGUGAGUAACGCGUGGGUAACCUGCCCUGUACAGGGGGACAACAGCUGGAAACGGCUGCUAAUACCGCAUAAGCCCUUAGCACUGCAUGGUGCAUAGGGAAAAGGAGUAAUCCGGUACAGGAUGGACCCGCGUCUGAUUAGCCAGUUGGCAGGGUAACGGCCUACCAAAGCGACGAUCAGUAGCCGACCUGAGAGGGUGACCGGCCACAUUGGGACUGAGACACGGCCCAGACUCCUACGGGAGGCAGCAGUGGGGAAUAUUGCACAAUGGGGGAAACCCUGAUGCAGCAACGCCGCGUGAAGGAUGACGGUUUUCGGAUUGUAAACUUCUUUUCUUAGUGACGAAGACAGUGACGGUAGCUAAGGAAUAAGCAUCGGCUAACUACGUGCCAGCAGCCGCGGUAAUACGUAGGAUGCAAGCGUUAUCCGGAUUUACUGGGUGUAAAGGGAGCGCAGGCGGGACUGCAAGUUGGAUGUGAAAUACCGUGGCUUAACCACGGAACUGCAUCCAAAACUGUAGUUCUUGAGUGAAGUAGAGGCAAGCGGAAUUCCGAGUGUAGCGGUGAAAUGCGUAGAUAUUCGGAGGAACACCAGUGGCGAAGGCGGCUUGCUGGGCUUUAACUGACGCUGAGGCUCGAAAGUGUGGGGAGCAAACAGGAUUAGAUACCCUGGUAGUCCACACUGUAAACGAUGAUAGCUAGGUGUGGGGGGUCUGACCCCUUCCGUGCCGGAGUUAACGCAAUAAGCUAUCCACCUGGGGAGUACGACCGCAAGGUUGAAACUCAAAGGAAUUGACGGGGGCC